GGAGCGGAUCUGCUUGAGUUCCCGGCCUCUGUGGAGUUACCGGCAGUCACCUUGCCAGCCUGGGGCGGCCGCUGAAUCGGCCCGCACCCCGUGCGCUGCCUGCGCCCCAAUGCUGGAUUGGACUGUGAAGUGGUUGCAGUUGGGCAGGGGGUUACCCUAAAACUGCCUUUGGGCUGGAGAGUGGGGAGGUUUCCAUCCGAGUCUCCUCGUGACUGUAACUGAUUUGAUUUAAGAAAAUUCAGGGGGUGGUUUGUUUGUUUUUUCGCGGGGAGGGGGCGGAAACUAGCAAAGCAACAAAAAACUUGCUGACAUAAAAAGCCUAAUUUGUGGCUCAGUAGCACCAGGCAUCUUAAGCCCAGCAACAUCUAAAACGCUAGUGAAUCGGUGCAGGUGGAAACCCAUCAACCCUCCCCUGCACAGAGGUUUUUCUAUGCUUUAGAAAUAUUUUGCUUUCUCGCUGAAAGAUGCUUCCUGCAGGCUUGCAGAUGCUCAACCCUUGGGUCUUGUGAAGAUGUUUUUCUUUGGGAUUACACGUGGAGAAAGGCGAUCCGUCAAGGGGAGAACUGGCUGGUGAAACUAACUGACAUUCUUGCUCCGGGGAAGUGGCUUCAAUGGCUCCAUCUCCCAGGACAAGCAGUAGAAAAGAUGCCAACGCCUUGCCAAGCAUGUCCUCAACUUUCUGGGCAAUCAUGAUCCUGGCUAGUCUUCUAAUCGCCUACUGCAGUCAACUGGCUGCAGGUACAUGUGAGAUUGUUACUUUGGACAGAGAUAGCAGUCAGCCCCGAAGGACUAUAGCCCGACAAACAGCUCGCUGUGCAUGUAAAAAAGGACAGAUUGCCGGUACAACAAGAGCAAGGCCAGCCUGCGUGGAUGCACGAAUUAUCAAAACAAAACAGUGGUGUGAAAUGCUUCCAUGUUUAGAAGGAGAAGGCUGUGAUUUGCUAAUCAAUAAAUCAGGCUGGACCUGUACACAACCGGGUGGGCGAAUAAAGACAACCACGAAAUCUGAUCACCACAGAACUCCUUGCCAAAAUUCCACAGAAACCAGGGGGUAUUGGGGAUCUUGCCAAAGAAUUUAGAUCCAAUAUGCUGCACAAUACACAGGGCUCUGCCUCUGAUAGACAGCGACACACUGCCUGUCUGAGGCCAUGUGGUUUGGAGAUCUGAUCACUAGUCCGAAAAGAAAAGGCUGUUUUCAAGAUUUCUGGGGUGUUUUUUCCUGGAAAAGGUCUCCUGACAAAUGCAGCAGCAAAGAAUUCUCGUAUGAGUGGUCUAGGUUCUGUGUGAGCUACUUACCUUAGUCAAGUUUCACUGCUGUGGAUCAUCAUCCAUUAUAUGUCAUCAAUUCAACUGUCUGUUUCUCUAUAUCUCAUAAAAGACAGCAUAAUUCCUCUACAUUAUGAGCUAAAAGUCUGUUCUACCAUUCUAAGAAGCACUGGACUAAGGAAUAUAGAUAUAAGAGAUACGCUUGGGCAUUAGCAAUACAAAAAGUUCAUGGUUAACGUUUCAUCUGCGUUAUACACCACUGUUGGACUCGAUGUUACCUACAUGUUUUGAUCUGAAGAGUCUACUGCACUGAAGAGUAUUCAUCCCAAUCAGCCUUAGAGAAGACUGUUUUGUCUAUGGGAGGACACUGAGGUGCAAAAGAGAAUCUCUUCUUGUGCCGUGGACUGUCUGAAUUGCUUUUAUUUUCUUAUACUUUCAGUAUAUACAAUAGACCAAAGAGCAAAAUCUAUUUUAAAGUGGACACAAUCUUACUGUUAACAGAGCUAUCUGGGUUAAAUUGUAGGGUGGUCUCCACAAAGACAUGAUUUCAACUCUCACAAAGCUGAGAUGUUCCUGUACAGCAGAAGUCUUUAUGGAACACUGCAGUAAAAACUAAACUAGAAAAUUACUCUUGAAAAACCACAUUAUAAACAACGAAAUGGAGCAUGGAGAGAAAACGGCGUAUGUUUGAAAAACUUUGAUGAAACAACUACAAACUGUCUACAUGGCACCUUUAUUCCUCUGUACUUAGAUUGACUUUCUCAUACUAAAAUCAUUUUCAGUUUUAACCAGUUAAACAUGCCUCUUCUACAGUUCCAUUUUUGAUAGUUAAAAUUGGAUAAUACAGUAUUUGCAAAGAGCAUGUUUGGUCAUCUGUGGCCUAUGUCUCAUCUGAUACACCAUUUAGCACCAGAAAGCAAAUUAAAGAAAAAAAAAAGUAACACUUGUUUGAAAGAGAUCAUUAAAUGUAUUUUGAAAAGCCUAAAGUUAUAUAUUUAACAGUUUUUAUAUGUUGUAUAUUUGUAGAAAAUCCUAUUUAACAAUUAACGUGGUAACUCUGACGGUCAUGACAAAUGGUUCAGAGUUAAGUUGUGUUUUAUUACUUCAGUUGUCUCUGAAGUGACAGGUGUCAUUUGCUUUCUUCCAUUAGGACAUUCUGGAUGUAAAGCAUGACCAGAGAGGACUCUGUAGAAAAAGCAAAGAAUAAUGUUGUUUCUAUUACAUAAAUGCAUUCAACCAUUG